rnacentral:rRNA from 1 species
AUUGAACGCUAGCGGGAUGCUUUACACAUGCAAGUCGAACGAGUGGCGGACGGGUGAGUAAUAUAUCGGAACCUUCCCAGUAGCGGGGGAUCAAUACUCGAAAGAGUGGCUGAUACCGCAGACUAUUGGAGCGGCCGAUAUCGGAUGGGCUAGUUGGUGGGGUAAAGGCUCACCAAGGCACCGAUCCGUAGCUGGUUUGAGAGGACGCCCAGCCACACUGGGACUGAGACACGGCCCAGACUCCUACGGGAGGCAGCAGGGGGGAAUUUUGUACAAUGGGGGAAACCCUGAUCCAGCCAUCCCGCGUGUAUGAGAAGGCCUUCGGGUUGUAAAGUACUUUUGGCAGAGAAGCGGUAUCUGCAGAAUAAGCACCGGCUAACUACGUGCCAGCAGCCGCGGUAAUUC